CCUUGACCUAUAUUACAUUUACCAGAUUCCUGCGAGGUUGUUCGUGACAAUAUUUUAAAUGAGAACCAUAAGGAUGUUCAGAUAUUUAUCCGGUUUACACCAUGUGUCAAGUUCCUAUAUAAAUAGAGGAACAAUUGAUUGAUAUCAUAGUACGAUACUAGCCUUCAAAAUAAACAAUCAAAUCACUAUCAAGAUGUUCAAAUACGUAUUCUUCGCCGCUAUUCUGGCUUUCGCCACAGCAAAACCAUUAGUAGUGGAAUACCCAAUAGCUUCGGUAGCUUCCUACUCGACUCCGGUAGCAGUGGAUUACGAUUAUGUUGCACCAUAUUAUUACCCAGGUUACGCUACUGCCUAUGACUAUGCAGCUUACACCUACCCGUAUAGUUAUUACGUACGUUAAGAAGCAUUAAAUUAAUUAAAUUAAAACCAAAUAUAUUUAUUCCCAUAUA